UCAACCCCCAUCACCAUUGAGGAAUAGCAUGGGAAAUGUACGUCUGAGCCACACACUUGUUUGGUUGGUAAUAUCCCUGAGUUCCUAUGGUGCUCCUUUCUAGUCAGCAAUCCCUCGCUGAGCUGCAGAUGAACUUGCAGAGAUGUGUGCUGGCAUGCACAGACGGCAGCUGGUCCUGACGGCGCAGGGCCCGGGUGAUACCGCCCGAUGAUACCGAGGAGAUGGAUGCAGAGCCUCGUGUUUUCAGCGUCUGACGUCAGGAGUCUUGCAAACCAUAGGAGCUGAAACUGAUUGAGUCCAGACUUAGAGGCAGAUCUGUGUAUCCUGUGGUUGUCUGACUCUAUGGACUACGUCGAUGACCUGAAAUUUAAAUAAAAUGGUUUACGAG